rnacentral:rRNA from 1 species
CCCUUAGAUGUUCUGGGCUGCACGCGCGCUACACUGAAGCUAUCAACACGUUUUCCCUCCCUGAGAAGGGCGGGUAACCUUUUGAAUCAGCUUCGUGUUAGGGAUCGGGGCUUGCAAUUGUUCCCCGUGAACCAGGAAUUCCUAGUAGACGCGAGUCAUAAGCUCGCAUCGAUUAAGUCCCUGCCCUUUGUACACACCGCCCGUCGCUACUACCGAUUGAACGUUUUAGUGAGGCAUUUGGACCGACGCAUCUCAGUUUAACCGCUGGUUUGUGUUGGAAAGACUUCCAAACUUGAGCGUUUAGAGGAAGUAAAAGUCGUAACA